CGAAAAAUGUUUCUUUUCAUUCCUUGGAUGUGCAAGAAAAUCUUUUAUGUAUCAGAUUGUACAGUUCCUAGUAAUGAGAAAUGGCUAGAUGUUAUACAAUAUCAUACUUCAUGAUGUCACCAACAAUGUCAUGUUCUGAGUAUUGGGAAAUAGUUGGAGACUCAGCAGUGCAGAAACUAGUUUACUCAGAAUGUUUGUUCCAACUGACGGAUGAUAUUGUCAGAUAAGAGCACAUUGGCAAGUUGCAGACGUUGACUUUCUGAAUUACAGAAAAUAGUUUCAGUCAGGAUACCAGAAAGCAUCAGGACUUCCCGG